AUUGAACGCUGGCGGCAUGCCUUACGCAUGCAAGUCGAACGGCAGCACGGGAGCAAUCCUGGUGGCGAGUGGCGAACGGGUGAGUAAUACAUCGGAACGUGCCCAGUAGUGGGGGAUAGCCCGGCGAAAGCCGGAUUAAUACCGCAUACGACCUGAGGGUGAAAGCGGGGGAUCGCAAGACCUCGCGCUAUUGGAGCGGCCGAUGUUGGAUUAGCUAGUUGGUGGGGUAAAGGCUCACCAAGGCAACGAUCCGUAGCUGGUCUGAGAGGACGACCAGCCACACUGGGACUGAGACACGGCCCAGACUCCUACGGGAGGCAGCAGUGGGGAAUUUUGGACAAUGGGCGCAAGCCUGAUCCAGCCAUGCCGCGUGCGGGAAGAAGGCCUUCGGGUUGUAAACCGCUUUUGUCAGGGAAGAAACGCGCUGGGUUAAUACCUUGGCGUAAUGACGGUACCUGAAGAAUAAGCACCGGCUAACUACGUGCCAGCCGCCGCAGUAACAC
rnacentral:rRNA from 1 species